ensembl:snoRNA C51F7.4 ncRNA
GGUGAGCGUGUGGUCUAGGCGGGUGUGCGCGCGCUUGUCGUUCAAACCUUGGGGAGGCUUCGUUGGUUCGACCCCCGCGCGUAGUUAAAAGGGUU